GGGGUCGUCGUAUAGCUUGGUAGUAUUCGUGGUUCGGGACUGCGUGACCGAGGUUCAAAUCCUCGCGACCCCA
rnacentral:tRNA from 1 species